UACCCUAACCGUGCGAAGGUAGCAUAAUCACUUGUUCUUUAAAUGAGGACUAGUAUCAAUGGCAUCACGAGGAUCCUACUGUCUCCCCCCUCCAAUCAGUGAAACUGAUCCCUCCGUGAAGAAGCGGAGAUACACUUAUAAGACGAGAAGACCCCAUGGAGCUUUAAACCCAAUAGCAUCCGCUUAUUUUUUAUCCUUUUAAACGUCCGGUUUUGUCUAAUUGGUUUUAGGUUGGGGUGACCACGGAGCACAAAAAAGCCUCCAUGAAAAAAGGAAUAACUAUCCUUAUCAGAGAAUUACACUUCCAAGAAUUAAUAAACUAAUUUUUAAUGAUCCGAUAUUCGAUCAACGAACCAAGUUACCCUGGGGAUAACAGCGCAAUCCACCUCAAGAGCCCCUAUCGACAGGUGGGUUUACGACCUCGAUGUUGGAUCAGGGUGUCCCAGUGGUGCAGCAGCUACUGAAGGUUCGUUUGUUCAACGAUUAAAACCCU
rnacentral:rRNA from 1 species